rnacentral:rRNA from 1 species
UACGUAGGUGGCGAGCGUUGUCCGGAUUUAUUGGGUUUAAAGGGUGCGUAGGCGGCUUUGUAAGUCAGUGGUGAAAUACUCCAGCUUAACUGGAGGGGUGCCAUUGAUACUGCGGAGCUUGAGUACAGAUGAGGUAGGCGGAAUUGACGGUGUAGCGGUGAAAUGCAUAGAUAUCGUCAAGAACACCGAUAGCGAAGGCAGCUUACUGGGCUGUAACUGACGCUGAGGAGCGAAAGCAUGGGGAGCGAACAGG